rnacentral:misc_RNA from 1 species
AAGUCGUAACAAGGUUUCCGUAGGUGAACCUGCGGAAGGAUCAUUAACACGUAUCCAACGUUAAACAACCCUGUGAACUUUCAACACCGCCGGAAUGAGAUUAAUUUCCAACUCCGGUGAAGGCAAGUGACCUGGCACCUGGACCACAUCAAAGCUCUCACGGCCGGCGACUGGGUCAGCGAGCUAACGCUCCCUCAACAACCACUUAACAUGACGACAGUUCCUCUUUAACUUGAGUUGAGCUAUAACAAAAAACUAUACAACUGUUAACAAUGGAUAUCUUGGUUCUC